UACGAAGGGUGCAAGCGUUACUCGGAAUUACUGGGCGUAAAGCGUGCGUAGGCGGUUUGUUAAGUCCGUUGUGAAAGCCCUGGGCUCAACCUGGGAAUUGCAGUGGAUACUGGCGAGCUAGAGUGCGGUAGAGGAUGGUGGAAUUCCCGGUGUAGCGGUGAAAUGCGUAGAUAUUGGGAGGAACACCAGUGGCGAAGGCGGCUCACUGGACCGGUACUGACGCUGAUGCGCGAAAGCGUGGGGAGCAAACGGG
rnacentral:rRNA from 1 species